rnacentral:rRNA from 1 species
GGCUCAGGAUGAACGCUAGCGACAGGCUUAACACAUGCAAGUCGAGGGGCAGCGGGGAUGAAGCUUGCUUCAUCCGCCGGCGACCGGCGCACGGGUGAGUAACACGUAUGCAACCUGCCCCUGGCUGGGGGAUAAGCCGGAGAAAUCCGGUCUAAUACCGCGUAACAUCCUUACGGGACAUCCCGUUAGGAUCAAAGGAAGCGAUUCCGGCCAGGGAUGGGCAUGCGGCGCAUUAGCUAGUCGGCGGGGUAGCGGCCCACCGAGGCGACGAUGCGUAGGGGUUCUGAGAGGAAGGUCCCCCACACUGGUACUGAGACACGGACCAGACUCCUACGGGAGGCAGCAGUGAGGAAUAUUGGUCAAUGGGCGCGAGCCUGAACCAGCCAAGUCGCGUGAGGGAAGACGGUCCUAUGGAUUGUAAACCUCUUUUGCCGGGGAGCAAGCUGAGUCACGUGUGGCUCAGCUGAGAGUACCCGGAGAAAAAGCAUCGGCUAACUCCGUG